GCCAUGGUAGCCUAGUGGUCAAGGUAACGAACUUGUAGCCGGCGUGUCAUGAGUUCCAGCUUAAUGCAGCUGAAGACCAGCAGUGUAGAUGGAAUGUCGAGGCUCAAACGUCCUCCCAUUGGCG